CUCCAAACUCUUCACCCUUCUGUGAAUAGCCCUGUAACAGUACAAGAAUGAAAAACCGUCCAGUGUGCUUUGGUAACCCAAGAAUACAGAAUGUCAUAUUGCCAUAUCUGUCUUAUGUGCCUAUGUUCAAUAUAAAAUACAGCUGCAGAGUAUUGCAGCUGAUUUCUUACUCCUAUAUAGAAAGCAAAUACAAAU